GCGAGACAGGUGGUCCGGCAAACGGUGGCGACCGAUAAACUGCACACUCGGAACGUGAUCGGGCGCAGCCCCCGGUGUGGUUCCGCCAAAUGAUCAGCCAGCAGCCGCUGCAACCCCAGGGAG
rnacentral:sRNA from 1 species